rnacentral:rRNA from 1 species
GAUGAACGCUGGCGGCGUGCUUAACACAUGCAAGUCGAACGAUGAAGCCCAGCUUGCUGGGUGGAUUAGUGGCGAACGGGUGAGUAACACGUGAGUAACCUGCCCUUAACUCUGGGAUAAGCCUGGGAAACUGGGUCUAAUACCGGAUAGGAGCGUCCACCGCAUGGUGGGUGUUGGAAAGAUUUAUCGGUUUUGGAUGGACUCGCGGCCUAUCAGCUUGUUGGUGAGGUGAUGGCUCACCAAGGCGACGACGGGUAGCCGGCCUGAGAGGGUGACCGGCCACACUGGGACUGAGACACGGCCCAGACUCCUACGGGAGGCAGCAGUGGGGAAUAUUGCACAAUGGGCGCAAGCCUGAUGCAGCGACGCCGCGUGAGGGAUGACGGCCUUCGGGUUGUAAACCUCUUUCAGUAGGGAAGAAGCGAAAGUGACGGUACCUGCAGAAGAAGCACCGGCUAACUACGUG